rnacentral:misc_RNA from 1 species
GAUGAAGAACGUAGCGAAAUGCGAUAAGUAAUGUGAAUUGCAGAAUUCAGUGAAUCAUCGAGUCUUUGAACGCACAUUGCGCCCCCUGGUAUUCCGGAGGGCAUGCCUGUCCGAGCGUCAUUGCUGCCCUCAAGCACGGCUUGUGUGUUGGGCCCCGCCCCCCGAUCCCGGGGGGCGGGCCCGAAAGGCAGCGGCGGCACCGCGUCCGGUCCUCGAGCGUAUGGGGCUUUGUCACCCGCUCUGUAGGCCCGGCCGGCGCUUGCCGAUCAACCAAACUUUUUUCCAGGUUGACCUCGGAUCAGGUAGGGAUACCCGCUGAACUUAAGCAUAUCAAUAAGCGGAGGA